rnacentral:rRNA from 1 species
UAACACGUGGGUAACCUGCCCAAGAGAUCGGGAUAACACCUGGAAACAGACGCUAAUACCGGAUAACAACAGAUGGUGCCUAUCAACUGUUUAAAAGAUGGUUCUGCUAUUACUCUUGGAUGGACCUGCGGUGCAUUAGCUAGUUGGUAGGGUAACGGCCUACCAAGGCGAUGAUGCAUAGCGAGUUGAGAGACUGAUCGGCCACAUUGGGACUGAGACACGGCCCAAACUCCUACGGGAGGCAGCAGUG